GCGGGGAGCGGAUUGGUCGGAAAGUAGGUUAGUGGUGCGACAUUUAGGGAAGGCAGAAAGUAGGUCAGGGACGGAGGUGCCUGUUUACCCGCGCCGGACUCACCGCCGCCGCCGCCGCGGGAUCCGAGUGGGGGCGCGGACGCGGGCGCUCCCGCGAGCCACGGUGGUGCUGGCUAGAGUGCACACUUUUGGACCCAAACUUAAAUUUUCAAAUGUGGAAUCCUAGGACUUCACUGGUUUCUGGAAGAAGUUGACUGCCUGAAAGGAAACGACAAAACAUGAAAAUCGCUUUGAGGUGACCCAUAAGUCCAGUGGCCCCUUGCUCCUCCCAAGGUGGAUCUGAGCUUUAAGAACUGUAAUUUCAGGUAAUGAAAUCGCACCCCCAGCCCCCACC
rnacentral:lncRNA from 1 species